rnacentral:rRNA from 1 species
UAAGUAGCACUUCGUUCUGAUGUCAGAUUAACUAAGACUUCUAAACUACAUAUGGUAAGCUACCAGAGCUUUGUGAAUAAUCUACUGCUAAUGUUGCAUGUUUAAUACAUUAAACCUUAACUUUAGAAACAAAAUAUCAAACAUAUUUUAUGGAAAUUACCCACAACACCAAUGAUUUAUAUUGUCCCACUUAGCUAGGAAACUAGGCAACAGAGAUAGUCAAUUACAAGUGACUAAAUAGGGUGCCAGCAGUCGCGGUUACACCUGACCUUGAAGUUAAUUCUUCCAAAAAGGAGGUAUUAUAUAUAUAGCUGAUCUCAAUUUUACCUGCAAAAGUGAAAUUUAAACUUAAACCAAAUAUACCCUAACAGAUCUUAUUAUACCCUCACACAAACCACACUCACAAAACAGGGAUUAGAUACCCCUCUAUUGCGUGGCUCUACACUAACAAACUCUAAAAACGAAAGUUCCAAACUUAAAGAACGUGGCGGUGUUCUACACCUUAUUAGGGGAUCCUGUGGCUUAAUUCGAUAAUCCACGACUAACCAAGCUUCAUUAGCCCACAGCUUAUGUAUGGCCGCAUUACGCCUGCACACCAAUGUUAUAACAGGAGACAAUUAGAACCAAAUAUUCUAAUAAUACAGGUGACAUAUAGCCCAUAUGGAGCAGUUCAUGGGAUACAAAUAAUCAUCAUUACCCGAAAGUAAUUUGUAAUUUUUACAAAAAGGAGGACUUAAAAGUAAGAUUUAAAACAAUAUUUUAAUCUGAAUAAGAUCUAGAACGCGCACAAAUCGCCCGUCACUCCCAGCCCUAAUUGGGAUAAGUCGUAACAUAGUAGGGGUAACGGAAGUUGCCCCUAAA